UACGUAGGGUGCGAGCGUUUGUCCGGAAUUAUUGGGCGUAAAGAGCUUGUAGGCGGUUUGUCGCGUCUGCCGUGAAAAUUCGAGGCUCAACCUCGAACUUGCGGUGGGUACGGGCAGACUAGAGUGUGGUAGGGGAGACUGGAAUUCCUGGUGUAGCGGUGAAAUGCGCAGAUAUCAGGAGGAACACCGAUGGCGAAGGCAGGUCUCUGGGCCACUACUGACGCUGAGAAGCGAAAGCAUGGGGGAGCGAACAGG
rnacentral:rRNA from 1 species